UUAGAAAUCUCAUUUACCAUUAAUUUAAACAUUUCAAGUUUGAAAACCUACUCCUUCCUCCACUCCUCCUCCUCCGCCGCCGUGUCUCAUCUUCCGGUCAAGCCGAAAAGCACCGCUGCCGCUGCCGGUGCAAGCCCUUCUCUGUUGCAACUUCUUCUCAAGCCCAGAAGCACUGCUGCUGCUGCAAGCCCUCCUCUACCGCAAGCCCUCCUCUACCGUGAAGAUCCUCAUCCCCACAAGCCCUUUUUUGUCUGAAGAUCAUCUAACUCGAUCUAAUUCGUUGUGUGCACGGAACAUUCUAAUUGCAGCACGAGUAUUAAUCAACCCGAGGGACAUUCACAAUAUUUGACUCGACCAACGGCGUACACAUCAGAGAAGACUUCAACUCCGUGUUCAAAAUUGUAAUUGCUCUCCCUAUUUUAGAGAUUUAUACCAGGGAGCAUGGGCACAGGUGGCUUGGGUGUCUUUAUUUUUUCCACCAAUAUAGCUUGAGUUGUUAGAACCACGCCGGCAACAGAUACCGCACUUUGAAGAGCACAUCUUGCAACUCGACUAGGAUCAGCUACUCCAGCAUUCAAAAGAUCUUCAUAUGUGCCAGUCAUUGCAUUAUAUCCAAUUCUCCAAUCAAAUAUUCUAAUCUUCUGGACAACAACAUCUCCAUCAACUCCAGCGUUAGUUGCAAUUGAUUUUGCAGGUUCAAGGAGUGCCUUUGCCACAUCUAAUAUAGAGAUAUUAACAACUACUGGCAGCAUAAACCAAUUAAGGAUAGUACAACAUAAUCCAAUCUAGAGAUCAACAACUACUGGAGAUAUUUUGCUGAUUUUACUAAACUAUCAAUGGCAGCCCUGGAAAAUGUCUUCUGUAUGGAGUAUAUAUUAGAGAGCCUAUAAAGCAAACACAUACUGUUAAGCUAGCAUGUUUUGGGUUGGAUUUGACUAAUUGAUUUUACUGAACUAUCAAUGGCAGACCUGGAAAAUGUCUUCUUUAGGGAGUAUAUAUUAGAGAGCCUAUAAAGCAAACACAUACUGUUAAGCUAGCAUGUUUUGGGUUGGAUUUGACUAAUGCUUUGCUUUAGUCGUAGGUGUUAUUAAGUUAUUUGUCCUUGUCUGCUAUUGUAUUGGGUUUAUGCACUCCUAGUGCUUCUCUUUAAUACAUCUUCUUUCCCUUUCAAAAAAAAAACCCCACAUUUUGUACAAACCUUGACAUUUUAUCUUGUGUGAUAUUUGUUAUGUUGUCUGAUUUUGUGUAA